rnacentral:rRNA from 1 species
UGGGGAAUUUUGGACAAUGGGCGAAAGCCUGAUCCAGCGAUGCCGCGUGUGUGAAGAAGGCCUUCGGGUUGUAAAGCACUUUUGUCCGGAAAGAAAUCCUUGGCUCUAAUACAGUCGGGGGAUGACGGUACCGGAAGAAUAAGCACCGGCUAACUACGUGCCAGCAGCCGCGGUAAUACGUAGGGUGCAAGCGUUAAUCGGAAUUACUGGGCGUAAAGCGUGCGCAGGCGGUUUGCUAAGACCGAUGUGAAAUCCCCGGGCUCAACCUGGGAACUGCAUUGGUGACUGGCAGGCUAGAGUAUGGCAGAGGGGGGUAGAAUUCCACGUGUAGCAGUGAAAUGCGUAGAGAUGUGGAGGAAUACCGAUGGCGAAGGCAGCCCCCUGGGCCAAUACUGACGCUCAUGCACGAAAGCGUGGGGAGCAAACAGGAUUAGAUACCCUGGUAGUCCACGCCCUAAAACGAUGUCAACUAGUUGUUGGGGAUUCAUUUCCUUAGUAACGUAGCUAACGCGUGAAGUUGACCGCCUGGGGGAGUACGGUCGCAAGAUUAAAACUCAAAGGAAUUGACGGGGUC